rnacentral:rRNA from 1 species
UACGUAGGGGGCAAGCGUUGUCCGGAAUCAUUGGGCGUAAAGCGCGUGUAGGCGGCUCGGUAAGUCCGCUGUGAAAGUCCAGGGCUCAACCCUGGAAUGCCGGUGGAAACUGUCGAGCUAGAGUCCGGAAGAGGCGAGUGGAAUUCCUGGUGUAGCGGUGAAAUGCGCAGAUAUCGGGAAGAACACCCGUGGCGAAGGCGGUUCGCUGGGACGGUACUGACGCUGAGACGCGAAAGCGUGGGGAGCGAACAGG